rnacentral:rRNA from 1 species
GACAGAGGGUGCAACCGUUGCUCGGAAUCACUGGGCGUAAAGGGCGCGUAGGUGGCCUGAUAAGUAGGAGGUGAAAUCCUGGGGCUUAACCUCAGGGCUGCCUUCUAGACUGUCCGGCUCGAGCACAGUAGAGGCAGGUGGAAUUCCCGGUGUAGCGGUGGAAUGCGUAGAGAUCGGGAAGAACAUCGGUGGCGACGGCGGCCUGCUGGGCUGUUGCUGACACUGAGGCGCGACAGCGUGGGGAGCAAACAGG